ensembl:lincRNA Gm26508 predicted gene, 26508
AACCUUUAAAUAUUUAUUUAUUUAUAAGCAUUUACAUGCAUAUGCUAGUGAUUGAUUUAUAUGCAUACGCUAUCCAAAUUGAGCUAAGAACCCUAAAUUCUUAUUUGUUUGGCCUGACAACUCUAGACCCACACCAUGCUGCAUCUGUGGGACAUCUCCAACAAAUGACACCAACUGUGGUGUCCAAGGAUGGAGUAAAGACUGUGGGAUAAACUUGGAUCUUCUGGAACUAAGCUGAGACAGUCAGGGCAGACUACUGGUCGACCAGAGCUGUAGUCAAGCCAGCUCUGGGCAGGAGGCUUCACAAAUACCCCCAGGGCCUUUGAACUCCUAGCUCUGGCCUCUGUGCCUGAGGCUUAAGCAUGUAAGAACGGUUUGGGUUCAUUCUGAUGGGGGGAAAAGCCAUUUGGAUGGUGUGGGUAUGUGUAGAAUGCAAAGCCUUCCUUUUCACUCUUGAAUCUGAACUCUCGUCUUCAAAGAGAGAGUUCGUGACCAGCUGUUUAUAAAGUGCUGGUCAGAGACCACCCACACCAGGAGAGCUGGGCCUUCUGAACCCUUUCUGCCCAAGUGCCCCUUGAAGGAGGAAGUCUGUUUCUAUCCUUGUCCUACUUGUCCUCUGAGGGCUUGAACUCACUCAAGGGCUCCACUGGCUCCUCCUGGGCCUCAGCGGGAGGCUUCUCUGAGGCAGGGGCCGGCGCCACCACUGCCGCCACAGCUGGAGCCUCGGGCUUCACCUGGAGGGUGCUGGGUGGUUCCCCGGCGUUGCUGCGCAUCUUGACACAGCGCAAGUCUAUGGGUUCAUCCAGGUCUGAGUCUAAAAGGAUGACCUCGGGCUGCGGCAGAGAGGCCGCGGUGGGGGAUACGUUGGCAGGGUGCUCGGAGACCGGGCUGCCCCCCAGGCAGGUCGGCGUGCUGAUGCUGCGGGCGGUCAACCGCUUCUUACAGGGCUCACGCUCCCCAUGGGUCUCGGAGAGGCAGCGCUUGCGCGCAUGGGAGAGGUUCAGGCCCACCGUAUGGUGGUGGUGGUGAUGGUGGUGGUGAUGGUGGUGGUGGGCGGGCGGGUGCGAGCUCCUGGCUGGGUCCCAGGCCAGCAGGUCUGGCUUGGUGGUGAGCUGUAGCGGUUGCUCACCAAAGGCCUCCUUGGUCGGGGAGAGCUUUGGAGACCCUAGGUCCUGGGGCUGCGCGUCCCCCGACACCAGAGCCUCCUCCUCCCUGCGUUUGCAGGGCACUUCGGCUUUCUUCUCCUCAGAGGCACCGGCUGCCUUUUUAAAAGUCCUGUCGCCCUGGGGAUGGCGCUCCUCGGCAGCACGUUUCUUGUGGCUGGGGGAGCGCGCCUCGCCCUCGGCGGCCUCGCCCGACUUGAUUUUCACUGCCUGCAUGCCGUUCUCCAUGUACUUGCUCAUAACGAUCACGAUGCGCCCAUUCUUGUUCUUGUUCUUGACGAUUUUCAUCUUGCCCCCAAUACCAUUACCGGUCACUGCCUCCUUAGGGGCUGGUGUCAUGCCAUUGGGGGGGC